rnacentral:rRNA from 1 species
CCUAUGGGAGGCAGCAGUGAGGAAUAUUGGUCAAUGGCCGAGAGGCUGAACCAGCCAAGUCGCGUGAGGGAAGACGGCCCUACGGGUUGUAAACCUCUUUUGUCGGGGAGCAAAGCGAGUCACGUGUGACUCAUUGAGAGUACCCGAAGAAAAAGCAUCGGCUAACUCCGUGCCAGCAGCCGCGGUAAUACGGAGGAUGCGAGCGUUAUCCGGAUUUAUUGGGGUUAAAGGGUGCGCAGGCGGAGGGGCAAGUCAGCGGUCAUAUUGCGGGGCUCAACCCCGUACUGCCGUUGAAACUGCAUCCCUUGAGUGCGCGAGAGGUAUGCGGAAUGCGUGGUGUAGCGGUGAAAUGCGUAGAUAUUCGGAGGAACACCGGUGGCGAAGGCGGCCAACUGGGCUUUAACUGACGCUGAGGCUCGAAAGUGUGGGGAGCAAACAGGAUUAGAUACCCUGGUAGUC